rnacentral:rRNA from 1 species
GCUUUGCGCGUGGCCCACCGGGGCCACCUGGCUCGCCGGAGGGACUCACGUCUCCGGGUCCGCGCCCGCCGAAGCGCUCUGUGCAACCCUGAUGUAAGAUGGUGUCUGUCUGAGUACUGCAUCGUAAGAUUGUCGAAACUUUCAACAAUGGAUCUCUUGGUUCCGGCAUCGAUGAAUAACGCAAUUUNAAUGCGAUAAGCUAAUGCUGUAAUUGCGCNAAUUCCGUGCAAUCAUCUAAUCUUUGUAACGCACAUUGUGCCCCCUGGCAUUCCGGGGGGCAUGCCUGCUCCGAGUGUCAUUUCUGCCCUCAAGCACGGCUUGUGUGUUGGUUGUGGUCCACCCGGAGCACCUGCCCGAAAGGCAGCGGCACACGUCCGUCUGGUCCUCGAGCGUAUGGGGCUCUGUCACUCGCUCUGCAAAGACCUGCGGGGGUAGGUCGCCACCAUAUUUUACCACGGUUGACCUCGGACAAGGCAGGAGUUACCCGCUGAACUUAAGCAUAU